rnacentral:rRNA from 1 species
GUAGGGGGCAAGCGUUAUCCGGAUUCACUGGGUGUAAAGGGAGCGUAGACGGCGAGACAAGUCUGGAGUGAAAGGCCGGGGCCCAACCCCGGGUCUGCAUUGGAAACUGUCGAGCUGGAGUGUCGGAGGGGUAAGCGGAAUUCCUAGUGUAGCGGUGAAAUGCGUAGAUAUUAGGAGGAACACCAGUGGCGAAGGCGGCUUACUGGACGAUGACUGACGCUGAGGCUCGAAAGCGUGGGGAGCA